rnacentral:rRNA from 1 species
UACGUAGGGUGCAAGCGUUGUCCGGAAUUAUUGGGCGUAAAGAGCUCGUAGGCGGUCUGUCGCGUCUGCUGUGAAAACCUGGGGCUUAACCCCGGGCCUGCAGUGGGUACGGGCAGACUAGAGUGUGGUAGGGGAGACUGGAAUUCCUGGUGUAGCGGUGAAAUGCGCAGAUAUCAGGAGGAACACCGGUGGCGAAGGCGGGUCUCUGGGCCAUAACUGACGCUGGAGGCGCGAAAGCGUGGGGAGCAAACAGG